rnacentral:lncRNA from 1 species
UAGUAUAGGAUUAUAACUUUUGAAAUGGAAAAAAGUCCACGAUACAUUAAGUUUAAACAAAGGUUUCAAUUGAAUUAUGCAUUGAAUUGAAUUGAAUUCAUUCAAUUGAAUUAAAUGGAUAAAUCGUAUGGUAUGUGAAUUAUCUCAAUGCAGCUAUUACCAAAAAUAAAAAUAAAAAGGUUUCGAAAUACCCAUCCCGUCCCACUUUGAUGUAGAUCUGGAUGAUUCUGCAGGAUUAUCUCUGGGUGAUGAUAUUGUGGGUAAUUUUCAAUCAUUCCAUUUUUGACUGUGAAUGUUUUCUAAAUGUUCUCAUAAACGUUUAUGUUUUUAAACUAUAAAAUAGAUGAGAUGAGCUGCUGUUGAUGUGAAAAAUAUUAAGUGUUGGCUGAGAUUUAGGAACAUCUAAAUCUAAACGACUUUCGUGACAUUCUUGGACAUUGGGAUUGAGGAGGUGUCUCACCUGGGAGCUCUCUUUGCACUAUGAUCAAAAUGGAGUCUUGCCAGCUGCCCAGGGUAAUAGCCUUGAACGUCUCUUCCUUGGUGAGCGAUGAAUAUACUAGAGCAGAAAGUGAGGAGUUGUGACCCAAGAUCCUGUCUCAUUUCUUAGUGGGCCUUCCUACCUCACAAGCUUGCAAGCUAAGCACGACAUUUCCCAGAGUGC